AACUUUCAACAACGGAUCUCUUGGCUCUCGCAUCGAUGAAGAACGCAGCGAAAUGCGAUAAGUAAUGUGAAUUGCAGAAUUCAGUGAAUCAUCGAAUCUUUGAACGCACCUUGCGCCCCUUGGUAUUCCGAGGGGCACGCCUGUUUGAGUAUCGUGA
rnacentral:rRNA from 1 species